rnacentral:rRNA from 1 species
UACGUAGGGUGCAAGCGUUGUCCGGAAUUAUUGGGCGUAAAGAGCGUGUAGGCGGCCUCGUAAGUCCGCUGUGAAAGUCCAGGGCUCAACCCUGGAAAGCCGGUGGAUACUGCGAGGCUAGAGUCCGGAAGGGGCGAGUGGAAUUCCUGGUGUAGCGGUGAAAUGCGCAGAUAUCAGGAGGAACACCAAUGGCGAAGGCAGCUCGCUGGGACGGUACUGACGCUGAGGCGCGAAAGCCAGGGGAGCAAACGGG